rnacentral:rRNA from 1 species
GAUGAACGCUGGCGGCGUGCCUAAUACAUGCAAGUCGAGCGCAGCGGGGACGGGUGAGUAACACGUGGAUAACCUCCUAUAAGACUGGGAUAACUUCGGGCAACCGGUGCUAAACCCGCUUCUUAUCUCUGGAUCCGCGGUGCAUUAGCUAGUUUGUAAGGUAACGGCUUACCCAGGCAACGAUUCAUCUCCGACCUGAGAGGGUGAUCGGCCACACUGGAACUGAGACACGGUCCAGACUCCUACGGGAGGCAGCAGUAGGGAAUCGUCCGCAAUGGGCGAAAGCCUGACGGAGCAACGCCGCGUGAGUGAUGAAGGUCUUCGGAUCGUAAAACUCUGUUAUUAGGGAAGCGGUACCUAAUCAGAAAGCCACGGCUAACUACGUGCCAGCAGCCGCGGUAAUAC